ensembl:antisense 9530036O11Rik uncharacterized LOC110294613
GUCCCGGGCGCACGCGGCUGGCAAAGAGCGCGCUUGGCCCGGGCGUGGGCCCCGAGUCGUUGUGCGGCGCCACGAAGAGCAGGUGCGCGGCGGUGAGCAGCAGGCGUUCGCGCGGCUCCAGCGUCUCGAUCACGUAGAAGACCUUCUUGGCGCCUUCGUCGCGGUCCAGGAAGUGUUCUACAUACCAUUAUACACCAGAGUCAUGCCUGAAACACACAGAAUGCACUGAUGCCCAGCAGGUCUUCCUCUUCUCAUCUAAAACAUAGUCCUCCUUGGCUGAGUUCUCCCAUCUCUGCCUUAGGAUGUGAAUGAAGGAGUGAGCUGGGAAUUAAGAGCCUUGCAGCUGCUGUGAAAGGGUUCCUGCAGAACCAGGAUUCUUGGGCCCAGUUGCUCUCUCCAGCUCUUCCCACUGCAGUGUACAGCCCUCUGUUUAUAAUAGGAAAUCCAAAAGAUAUUUACAUGGAAGCUUUCUCUACCCUGAACCAUAAAUGAAGGGAGGCUCUGAACUCCGUAUAUACUCUCUGUUCUGGACAUCAAAAUGGGAAUACUUAAAAAGGCAAUAUUCUCUGACAUUUAUCCCAGAGGCCAUGGAAUUCUCAGUAGAAAAAUCUUAAAGAAUUCAGGACACUUGAACUCGAAGAAGUCAUGAAUAUACUAUUGUAACUGGACUCCAUCUCCAAUGUACCAGUGAGACGAGGAAAGCAGAAGGACCUCUCCUUUAGGCAUGAUAUUCCCUAGCACUUGCCAUUCAGCCUUGUUCAUAUCAGAAGUAUGUGUUCUCUCCAAUACACAAAUCCAUGACUCUGAGUAAUUAAUUGUGUGUGGAAUUGCUAAUGAAUAAAGCCUCCAAGCUGUGGAAAGCAACUUUCCCUG